AUGAUCCAGAGUACCACGGGACACGUGAAACCCUGUGGGAAGCAGGAGGGACCACCCUCCAAGGCUAAAUACUACCUAGUGACCGAUAGCGUAUAGUACCGUGAGGGAAAGGUGAAAAGAACCCCGGGAGGGGAGUGAAAUAGAACCUGAAACCCUGCACUUACAAGCUGUGGAAGCACAUUUCUUGUGUGACCGCGUACUUUUUGUAGAACGGGCCAACGAGUUACGUUAAGUAGCAAGGUUAAGCACUUAAGGUGUGGAGCCGUAGCGAAAGCGAGUUUUAACUGAGCGUUCAGUUACUUGACGUAGACCCGAAACCGGGCGACCUACCCAUGAGCAGGAUGAAGCGAAAGUAAAAUUUCGUGGAGGUCCGAACCCACGAGCGUUGAAAAGCUCGGGGAUGACUUGUGGGUAGCGGUGAAAUUCCAAUCGAGCCCGGAGAUAGCUGGUUCUCCCCGAAAUAGCUUUAGGGCUAGCCUCAAGGUGAGAGAUACGGAGGUAGAGCACUGAAUGUCCUAGGGGGUAUUGCACCUACCGAAGACUAUCAAACUCCGAAUGCCGUCAUCUUAUACUUGGGAGUCAGACUGUGGGUGAUAAGAUUCAUAGUCGAAAGGGCAACAGCCCAGAUCGUCAGCUAAGGUCCCUAAAUGUAAGUUAAGUGGUAAAGGAUGUGGGAUUGCACAGACAACCAGGAUGUUGGCUUAGAAGCAGCCACUCAUUCAAAGAGUGCGUAAUAGCUCACUGGUCGAGUGAUCCUGCGCCGAAGAUUUCCGGGGCUAAAACUUACUACCGAAGCUACGGCAUCAGUAAUGAUGGGUAGGGGAGCUUCCCAUACGGGUUGAAGCAUGACCGUAAGGACAUGUGGACAGUAUGGGAGUGAGAAUGUUGGCAUGAGUAGCGAGAUGUGGGUGAGAAUCCCACAGGCCGUAAACCCAAGGUUUCCAGGGGAAGGUUCGUCCGCCCUGGGUUAGUCGGGACCUAAGCUGAGGCCGAAAGGCGUAGGUGAUGGACAACAGGUUGAUAUUCCUGUACUACCGAUAACCGUUUGAGAGAAGGGAUGACACAGUAGGAUAAGCUAAGCACACUGUUGGUUAUGUGUGCCCAAGCAUUGAGGCAGUCAAAGUAGGCAAAUCCGCUUUGAUAAUGCUGGGAUGUGAUGGGGAGCGAAAUUUAGUAGCGAAGUAGCUGAUUUCACACUGUCAAGAAAAGUCUCUAUCGAGGUUAAAGGUACCCGUACCGCAAACCGACACAGGUGGGUGAGGAGAGUAUCCUAAGGCCAGCGAGAGAACUGUUGUUAAGGAACUCGGCAAAAUGACCCCGUAACUUAGGGAUAAGGGGUGCCACCAUCAGGUGGCCGCAGAGAAUAGGCCCAAGCGACUGUUUACCAAAAACAUAGGUUUCUGCUAAGUCGCAAGACGAUGUAUAGGAGCUGACGCCUGCCCGGUGCUGGAAGGUUAAGGGGAUCUGUUAGAGCAAUCGAAGCAGUGAACUUAAGCCCCAGUAAACGGCGGCCGUAACUAUAACGGUCCUAAGGUAGCGAAAUUCCUUGUCGGGUAAGUUCCGACCCGCACGAAAGGCGUAACGAUUUGGGCACUGUCUCAACAACAGACUCGGUGAAAUUGUAAUUCCGGUGAAGAUGCCGGAUACCUGCGACAGGACGGAAAGACCCCAUGGAGCUUUACUGUAGCUUGACAUUGGGUUUUGGUACUACAUGUACAGGAUAGGUGGGAGGCUUUGAAACCAGGACGCCAGUUUUGGCGGAGCCAUCCUUGGGAUACCACCCUUGUAGUACUGGGACUCUAACCAUAGGCCAUGAAUCUGGUCUUGGGACACUGUCAGGUGGGCAGUUUGACUGGGGCGGUCGCCUCCCAAAAGGUAACGGAGGCGCUCAAAGGUUCUCUCAGUACGGUCGGAAAUCGUACGUAGAGUGUAAAGGCAAAAGAGAGCUUGAUUGCAAGACAUACAGGUCGAGCAAGGAUGAAAAUCGGACUUAGUGAUCCGGUGGUUCUGCGUGGAAGGGCCAUCGCUCAACGGAUAAAAGCUACCCUGGGGAUAACAGGCUUAUCUCCCCCAAGAGUCCACAUCGACGGGGAGGUUUGGCACCUCGAUGUCGGCUCAUCACAUCCUGGGGCUGUAGUAGGUCCCAAGGGUUGGGCUGUUCGCCCAUUAAAGUGGUACGCGAGCUGGGUUCAGAACGUCGUGAGACAGUUCGGUCCCUAUCCGUCGCAGGCGUAGGAAAUUUGAGAAGACCUGUCCUUAGUACGAGAGGACCGGGAUGGACGUACCUCUGGUGUACCAGUUGUUCUGCCAAGGGCAUGGCUGGGUAGCUAUGUACGGAAUGGAUAAGCGCUGAAAGCAUCUAAGCGCGAAGCCAACUUCAAGAUAAGAUUUCCCACCGUAAGGGUAAGACCCCAGAAAGACUAUCUGGUUGA
rnacentral:rRNA from 1 species